rnacentral:rRNA from 1 species
GAUGAACGCUAGCGGCAGGCUUAACACAUGCAAGUCGAGGGGCAGCGUGAGGGUUAGCAAUAACCCUUGACGGCGACCGGCGCAAGGGUGCGUAACGCGUGAGCAACUUGCCCUUAUCAGGGGGGAUAACCGGUGGAAACGCCGACUAAUACCCCAUGGCAUCACAAUGAGGCAUCUUUUUGUGAUUAAAGAAUUUCGGAUAAGGAUAGGCUCGCGUGACAUUAGCUAGACGGCGGGGUAACGGCCCACCGUGGCGACGAUGUCUAGGGGUUCUGAGAGGAAGGUCCCCCACACUGGAACUGAGACACGGUCCAGACUCCUACGGGAGGCAGCAGUGAGGAAUAUUGGUCAAUGGUCUGACGACUGAACCAGCCAUGCCGCGUGAAGGUCA